GCUGCUCACUUUGGCAGCUCAUAUACUAAAAUUAGAACAACACAGAGAAAAUUAGAGUGGCUUCUGCACAAGGAAGAUGUGUAAAUUUGUGAAGCGUUCCAUAUUUCG
ensembl:snRNA U6 U6 spliceosomal RNA